GGAAGCACAAACUGUGUUUGCAAUAGCACUUGGCAUCUUUUGUAAAGUGCAUGGCUAUCAGGACUACGGGAAGCAUGACAGCCUGCCUUACGUACUUAAUCUUCUGAGCAGAAUUAUUUAACCAGCUGUGGCACUUCUCUUUCAUGUCUGGACAAGGAGGCCUAGGCACUGGUGUAGGUUUUCUGAGAGUGAACCCAGUCCAUUUUCUUUGACAGUGGAACUGAUUCAGUGUUGCUGAAGUGAAUGUCUUCAUCAGUGGGGCUGUCCCUGGCCAUCCUGUCAGUACCUUCAGAGGUUCUUGCAACAAGACAGCCCUUUCCAGCAGCUCCUCUACUGAAAGUAGUGAAAGAAGUUAUACAACAAUCAAGACUUCUGCAAAACUAG
rnacentral:lncRNA from 1 species